AUGAACGCUAGUUACAGGCUUAACACAUGCAAGUCGAGGGGCAGCAGGGCAAUAGCUUGCUAUUGUUGCUGGCGACCGGCGCACGGGUGAGUAACGCGUAUCCAACCUACCCCGCGGUCAGGGACAGCCCGGCGAAAGUCGGAUUAAUACCUGAUGCAGUCAGAAGAGGGCAUUUGAUUUUGACGAAAGAUUCAUCGCCUCGGGAUGGGGAUGCGUAGGAUUAGGCAGGCGGCGGGGUAACGGCCCACCGCGCCGACGAUCCUUAGGGGUUCUGAGAGGAAGGUCCCCCACACUGGUACUGAGACACGGACCAGACUCCUACGGGAGGCAGCAGUGAGGAAUAUUGGUCAAUGGGCGCGAGCCUGAACCAGCCAAGUAGCGUGCAGGACGACGGCCCUAUGGGUUGUAAACUGCUUUUAUGCGGGGAUAAAGUGCGGCACGUGUGCCGUUGUAGGUACC
rnacentral:rRNA from 1 species